ensembl:antisense Gm14798 predicted gene 14798
AGACCUUGACAACCCUUUGCUUGGCCUUGUUCCCUUUUCUCGCCCGUUUCUCUUUCAGGCUUGGUCCCCCUUGGCCUCCUGAAUAACUAGGUCCCAGGGGUCGGGAGGCGCCCAACAUGAGGCUCAAGGUACAGACCCUCACAGGACGGGGCCCACCCUCCAGAGAAGGUAGCUGCUACGAAGUUGAGGAACGCUCUCAAUGCUCAUGAGAGAAAGUCGUCUCGGGAUCCCGUUGGCAUCUAUGACUGCUUCAGAGGCACAGUCUGCUACCAACACUUCUUCUGAGACAACAUCAGCGGCCAGAGGAUCUGUGACGAUUUCUGCUUCUACUACACUAUCAUGAACCACAUGUUCAACGUGACCAACGUCAGACACAUGUAUAGAUUCACUUGUCAAGACAUGUUCCGGCAUAGAUAUUGAGGCUGAAGUGAUAUCAGAAGCUAAAACAUCAUCUGGAACUGUGCAAUGUGUUAAAGAAACUUCUUCGGUUACAUCUGAAUCCAGCACUUGUUCAGGGAUGAUGACUGUUUCCGAUACAUCUGCUUCGUCCAUGAUGUCUGUACACUGGACAUCUUCUAUAACAACAUCCUCAAUGACAUCCUGGAUGACAACUGAAUCUGGGUCAUCGGGAACAUAGUUAUGUACGGUUAUGUCGGAAUCCACAACAUCUGACACAUAAACCGUUUCUUGAACUUCCACAACAAUUUGAUUACCAUCCAUGUGUGUAGCACCAGCUCCUAAAAAAUAACCAAACUCAUAAGUGUGGUAGUUUGAAUAAGAAUGGCCCCUAUAAGCUCAUAUAUUUAAAUGUAUUUGAGCAGAUUAUAAGGAUAGGAGGUGUAGACUUGUUGGAGGGUGUCACUAGGGGUGGGCUUUGGGGUUUCAAAAGCUCAUGCCAAGCAGCAGGCCUAGUGUACAUUUGUGCAUGCAGGUGUAUGUGUCUAUCUCCUCCUCCUAACUCUUUGCCUGUGGAUCAAAAUGUAAAGGUCUUUGCCUAUGGAUCAAGAUAUAGCUCUUGGCUACUACUUCAGCACCUGUCACAUGAUGAUGCCAGACUAAGCCUCUGUAACUAUGAACAAGUCCCCAAUUUAAAUGCUUUCUCAAAUGUGAGUUGCCUUGUUAUUGAUGUCUCUUUCCAGCAACAAAAUAGUAGCUAAGACAGUAAGUAAUUAAAAUCAUGAAUUUCAGC